GUCGAACGAUGAAACUUAAAUGAUUUCUUCGGAAUGAACUUAAGUGGAUUAGUGGCGGACGGGUGAGUAACGCGUGAGUAACCUGCCUUACACAAGGGGAUAGCCGUUGGAAACGACGAAUAAUACCCUAUGAAACUAUCACUUCGCAUGAAGCGAUAGUCAAAGUGUUAGCGGUGUAAGAUGGACUUGCGUCUGAUUAGCUAGUUGGUGAGAAAAAAGCCCACCAAGGCAACGAUCAGUAGCCGGCUUGAGAGAGUGUACGGCCACAUUGGGACUGAGACACGGCCCAGACUCCUACGGGAGGCAGCAGUGGGGAAUUUUGCACAAUGGGGGAAACCCUGAUGCAGCGACGCCGCGUGAUUUAGAAGGCCUUCGGGUUGUAAAAAUCUUUUGUAUAGGAAGAAAAUGACAGUACUAUACGAAUAAGGUCCGGCUAAUUACGUGCCAGCAGCCGCGGUAAUACGUAAGGACCGAGCGUUGUCCGGAAUCAUUGGGCGUAAAGGGUACGUAGGCGGGUCAUUAAGUUAGAAGUCAAAGGCUAUAGCUCAACUAUAGUAAGCUUCUAAAACUGGAGACCCUGAGUAAUGGAAGGGAAAGUGGAAUUCCUAGUGUAGCGGUGGAAUGCGCAGAUAUUAGGAGGAAUACCGGUGGCGAAGGCGACUUUCUGGCCAUUAACUGACGCUGAGGUA
rnacentral:rRNA from 2 species